CUCACUCAUUGGAUCUGUUCAGAGAUGCCAGAGGAGGAAAGGGUUCUCACCUAAGACACUCAGAGGCCUGAGUGUUUUUGGGCCCUUGCCCAAGGGAGUGGGUGUGCAGCAUGUUAUACAGCCUUCAUGCAGUUCUUUGCUCUUUUCUGUGAGUCAGAGUCAUGUGCUGUUUAAAAUAGGUGGUGACAGUGGGCAGGGCACUCCAAACACAAUAGCAAUUCAUUGAGUGCAUUGGGAGGGAGAGUGUGACCUUUCAUCCAAAGCCUCAGCGAGGCUCCAUUUGACUGUUGUAAGAUCAGAAUGAGCAUGCAGACCCACUGAGUUGACUGGCAAAGCUUUACUAUGGAUAACCACAGAUGCAACCGCAUGCUGUGUCUUUAGGAAAAUGGGAGCAAGUGGAUUGUGUCAGAUGUCCAAAUGGUAACCAUCACCUACUCAACUGGAGGAGACUAUUUUUGUGCCCGAUUUGCUUGCUGGAAACUGCAGAACUUCAAUGUCUGCAGUGAAAAUGGAAAGAAAAGAAAACCAGUUGUCUGCCUUGGUGAUGAGAGCAGAAAGUCAAGAGCAGCAAUAUAGGCAGCUAACAAGCAUUUAAUGGUGAGGGAACAAGAGAAGGGAGGAAAGGCAGGGGGCUCAAGGUCAUGGCCAAGAUAUGUUUUUCCUACUCAGAAUUAGGUCUGGGCCUGACCAUGUUCCUAUAGACCAAAUUCUGUCCUCCAGAAAUAGGUACAGUGACCCACACAUAAAAGGCAUUAUAAGCAAAUGAGGUGCCUCUUUAAUUCUUCGAUGAGCUCUAAAAGUUAUCUUUACAGUUUAGUUAUAGUCAGAGCAACUGUUAGAGAACCUUGGUUUUUUUCCCAAAGAAAAAGAGUUGCCACUGUGAGAAAUAACUGGGAUUUCCUGACAUUAAAAAAUAAUAACAGACAUAUUAGUCCCUUUAUUGUUAAGUAAAAGAAGGAAAUGGGCAGGAACCACUAUGCAUUGAAGAGGAAAGUAUUGAGCUUCCAAAUAUAUCCUGGGAAACAUGUAAUACUUCCCUGAACAUAGGGAAAUGUGGCUGAGAUUCUCAGCACAGAAGUAUGUUUGCCACAUGCAAAGCACAUAAUAGAAGUGAUAGGGACAGGGCAGAGAAAUUCUAGGCAGAAAAAGAUGGGUCCCCAGGGAAACCCCAUCCUUAUGCUGAAAAGCCUGAAACCACAGUCCAAAGUGAGAACUUAUACCCCUGUUUUCCUGCUCAAAUGUUGUCUUUUCCUAAAACCACCCAUGGCUCCCACUCCACCCUAUCCUGUGCCUAUAAAAACCCCAGAUUCAGCUGGUAGACAGGACUACAGCUGGACAUUGGAGAGAAGCAGCUUGACUUCAGAAGGACAGCUUGAUGGCAUAUAACUUCGGAGAAGCAUCCUGCCGGAGACAGCUGGGCUUCAGAGGAAGAUUACCUACCCACUCUGUCCCCUUUUCAGCUCCCCUUCCCACUGAGAGCUACUUUCAUUGGCAAUAAAGUCCCCUGCAUUUAUCAUCUUUCAGUUCAUUCAUGCAACCUCAUUUUUCCUGGAUGCUGGACAAGAGCUCGGAAGCCACAAUUGUGCAUACAAAAGGCGGUUGCACUGGCACUCUGCCCUCCAUGGGGCCUGCACAGAGUUUGCUCCUGCCAGUGCUAAAGCAUCUGGCCAGUUCCUGCACCUGCUCACCUUGCACUCCCUCC
rnacentral:lncRNA from 10 species